UACGUAGGGUGCGAGCGUUAAUCGGAAUUACUGGGCGUAAAGGGUGCGCAGGCGGUUUUGUAAGCCAGAUGUGAAAUCCCCGGGCUUAACCUGGGAAUGGCAUUUGGGACUGCAAGGCUGGAGUGCGGCAGAGGAGACUGGAAUUCCUGGUGUAGCAGUGAAAUGCGUAGAUAUGCGGAGGAACACCGAUGGCGAAGGCAAUCCCCUGGGCCUGCACUGACGCUCAUGCACGAAAGCGUGGGGAGCAAACAGG
rnacentral:rRNA from 1 species